rnacentral:rRNA from 1 species
UGAGGAAUAUUGGUCAAUGGGCGAGAGCCUGAACCAGCCAUGCCGCGUGCAGGAAGACGGCCCUAUGGGUUGUAAACUGCUUUUGUUUGGGAAGAAAAGCCGCUACGCGUAGUGGACUGACGGUACCAGAUGAAUAAGCAUCGGCUAACUCCGUGCCAGCAGCCGCGGUAAUACGGAGGAUGCGAGCGUUAUCCGGAUUUAUUAGGUUUAAAGGGUGUGUAGGCGGAAGAUUAAGUCAGUGGUGAAAUCUCACAGCUCAACUGUGAAACUGCCAUAGAUACUGGUUUUCUUGAGUACAGUUGAAGUAGGCGGAAUGUGUAAUGUAGCGGUGAAAUGCUUAGAUAUUACACAGAACACCGAUUGCGAAGGCAGCUUGCUAAGCUGUUACUGACGCUGAUGCACGAAAGCGUGGGGAGCGAACAGG